GGAAGGAGCCCAGAGGAAACACUGCACUUUGGAGUCCAGAGGAAAGAUGAGUAAUCUCAAACACAGGUGCUAGAUGUGCCUGUGACUUGGCUUUGACCAUACAGCCGAGGACUGUGGAGCAGUAAGGUGGAGGGAACUGAGGUUCUGGGAUGACCACGUGAAGCAAAGCUGCUCACCCACUCAGGACUGUUACAUCAGAGAGAAAAUAUAAGCUUUUUAAAGCCAAAGCUUCUUGGGAGUCUUUUUAUUACCGUGGCUUAACCUUUCCUCUAACUAAUUCAAAAGCCAAUUCCAAAACAAACCAACCAAUCAGCAGAAAAUCAGAAUGUUGAAAGUGACAUAUUCCAACUGAUGACAAAAGCCUGCAGGAUCAGAAACUUUUGGUCCCAUGUGCAAUAUGCAGUGUUCAUGGCUUCCUACCUGGAGAAAGUUAAGUUUUAUUGUGUUCAAGGAGGUUGAGAGUAUAUAUUUGAUGUCCCAAGAUUGAGGAAGUGGUCCAGCAGGAAGACUGCAUUGAGUUACCAACUUGGGUGAAAAAGAUCAAGGUGAAGAUUUUAUUCCACAAAGUAUAAGGGGCCAGUAGGUCUUUACAGAAUAGAUAGGCUCAGGCCCAAGUAUGGUGGAUUAAGACUGACCUGAGAGAACACGAUAUCAGCACAUCCAUUGAUGGGAAGGAAGGACGUUGACCCAAUAGGCCAUUGGCUUUGUGGAACAACAGUCUUGAAAACCCUUGGAGAAGAUAGGUGCAGCCAACUCUGGAGGACUGCCUGAAAGGGAGCAGAGCCUGUAGAGGAGGCAUGGAGCCUCUGGAUGAAGGGCCGGUGCAACAUUCAGAGUUCAGUAUUGAUCGUGUUUGUGAUUUAAACACUCAGAGACCAAGGAAUUGACCACUUUGAUGUGGAUUGAUGGUUUCCUGAUGCUUUAUGACAGUUACAGGCAUCAGCCAACUCUGGCUGACUGAAGCCGAAGAGAGUUUGAUGCAAAGAACACUGGGUGGCUGGAGAAUCAGUAGGAAUGCUGACAGUAAGGCUGGAGAAUAAGCAGCCUGGAGCAGCACCGAGAAUCACAUGGUGGAAGGAGUCUGGAGAAACUUCUACUGCUUCAGCCAUUGAAUGUUGGGCACUAUCAUUGGCAUCACAGUCACCUCUGUGCACAAACUUGAACCUGCAGUAGGGAGAGAGAGAACUCCACCCUUCCUGUGUCUAGCUCCAGAGUCAAAACCCAGGGUGGCACAUGGUGGAUGGAUCCUGUGUACAGCCUGUGCCUGGCUGCAAAGGCUGCUGGGAAAGCCAGUUGCUGCAUUUUUGGCAUCUACAGUGGGAAGCAGCCACUGAAGACAAUGAAGACUCAUGAAGUGGGAACUUCUCAAUGAAAAAGGAGUUCAAAUAUUGGGUGGCCAAAUAAAAUGAUAAAUAUUCACUAUCAUUGCCUUAGUUGAGAAUCGAGAAGCUGGGGGCAGUGUGAGGGUACUGAUGGCAACAUUCUCUAACAGGUAUUGAGUGAUUAUUCUCUGGGCUAACUAUUCUAAAUGCAGUAUCUCAUUUAAUCCUUCCGACAAAUCUCCCAGGCAAUUACUAAUAUUGUACCUAUUUUCCAAAGGAGACAACUGGAUUGUAGACAUGACUGUGGCACAUACCUAGUAGGUGUCUGAGCUGAGGUUCUGGCGUAGGCAGUCUGUCUUCUGAGACUGUGCUCACAUUUUCAUGAUUGAGGGCUGGUGAGGAACUCUAGGGGUAUUUCUUUAAGUUAAAGCAUUAAAACCAGCUGUCCCUAGUGCUCAUCAUUCCAAUUAUGCCACAUUAACUCCAGUCUUUUAAAAAUCCCGUCUCAAGGUACUUCUAGGAGUCUCCAAGAUGGCUUGUGUGAACACGUGUCAGACCAGGUUAUUGGAGGCCACCGUGCUGUCACCUUCCUCUGCCAAGUCCAGGCCCACUGUGGGGACCGCUGUCCAGGCUUAGAAACUCCGGUAUGAACACUGGUGGGCGGGCACUCUCCCGUAGCUGCCCUUGGCCACAAUGGAGAUCUCCCCUGGCCCUCUCCCAGACUGAGUCACCUGUACUACACAGUUUGCCCUGUUUGACACAACUGCCAGCCAAACCUGAGAUCCUCCUGGGUCACUGGCCAUGCCCAGGAGAGGCCUCGAGGAGCCAAUCUUUGCAGCCCAGCCACAGAUGCUCUUGGCCAUCAAGGAGCUUUACUGAGCCCUGUCAGGGGACAGGAGGAUUCACUUCCCUCAGCUCCCCUCUGUGAGACACCUAUAGUAAGGCUACAGAUUUCAAAGGGACGCCAAAUUUGGUUGUUUCCACCAGCGAAACCCAUUUUUGCCCUAGGGCCCACAUAGAUCAUCAGCAUAGUGAUGUCAGCAGCACCCUUCAGGCCCAGGGGCAGAAAACUGCUGGUUGUGACAUCCUUCCUCUUCUCCUCCCCUUUAAAGACCCUGCCUUCCUUUUUCAUAAUUGGCUCAAAUCACUCUCCUCCCACUCUGAUCUCACAUUCAUUAAUUCAUCUGGUCAACAUCAAAUAUUCAUUAUGCACCAAUUAUCUGUAAAACGGGGAUAGGAAUAAUGAUAUUUCAUUGUCUUGGUUUCGGUCUUCGUGCAAGCAGACUUGAGACAAGGGCUUGGUUGCAGGCUUUUUAUUCGGGAGGUGAUCCCAGGAAGCAGGAGUGAGGGAGCAGGAAGAUUGAGCAGGGAAGGAGGAAAACAGUAACCUAAGGGUGUGCUAUUGGUUACUGCUGCUGGCAGUGGGAGCCCAAGUGCAUUGGCACAUCUGAGAAGCACACAGAAGCAUCCCAGGAUUGUCCUCCUGAAGGAAGGGAGGCAAGAGCAUUUAUCCAUAGCUCCUAGCCCCCUUGGUAGAUAGUUGCCUUGGGACAGGGAGUGAGAGGUUGGGGGUUACCUGCCCUGACCUUUAGAGGGCUGAGCUGAUUUCUGCAGCUUUAGCAAGUCUUUAAGGCAGAGAGGAGCAAGCCAUGGGCACAUGCCUAAGUGGCACUGUCCAAGGAAGAAGCUCCUCCUUGCAGUUGGACUGAAGUCAAGAGUGGGAUGAGGGGCCGUGAUACAGCACGGAAAACAUACACUACACUUUCUCAUGAAGUAGUUACCAUUAACUGAGUUAAUUUAUGUAAAACACCUAGAACAAUACCUGCCCCCAAUAAGGCUAUAUGUGUGUGUUUGCUGCUAUUAUUUGUGUGACUAUUACAUGUGCCUGGUGCUUCUCCAGGCUCUGUAGGUAACACUCUCAUGAGACUUACUUUCAGCUCACAAAACAUGCCUUGUUUAUGUGUCAAAGCUCUGAUUCUUGAUACUGUCCAAGUUCUUUUGCCAGGAGAUUCUCAGCCCCCAUGUUUGGGGAUGGCCAGGGGACAUGGCCCCACUUGACUGCCUGCCUUGCCAGUAUCUCUGAUCCAUUUUGGAGGCCUGCCCUGCCAUGCUCUGCUUCCCAGGAUCCUGAACAAGGAUUUGAGAACUAAGGUUUGAAUUCUGCAUAUGAAACAGUCAAACUCAAGUUGUCCAUCUGCUGGGAAAAGAAAAUAGCUUCAGAGCAAAGUCACUUGCCUUUUAAUAAUUGAUGGAUAAAAGAUUGCAGCAUGUGCAAAAACACACUUUCCAGAUCUGCCACUAAGAACGGUUCGGGCAGAAGAAACUGCUCUUUCCAUUGCCCCAGAGGCCAGGCCUGCCCUCAGCUAAUCUGGUGACCUAAUCCUUUCACAUGGGGGAGGACCAGAGCAUUUGCAUACAAGCAAUGAAUGCAUCUUUCCACCAGAGGCUUCCAGAGGCAAGUCCAAUCUAGUUAGUGCUUAUCUGUCCAAGCUGGCUGACCUUCUCCCAGUGCACAGUCCAGUCCCAAGUCCUCCCACCCCUGCCUUGUUCCCAGAACGAGUCUUGACUAUUCUAGCCUCAUACCUCGUCCCUAAGUUGCAACACUUGAUAUGGCUCCUUGAGGACUGCCUUGGCCAUCUCCUUGUUGCCGCUCCCACUGACUGCUUGGGUUUCAGCAGUUCACGGCUUCACGAGGCAACCCCUCCCUCUUGGUUCUAUGAUAACAUAACCGGUCACAGGCCUUUUGCCCAGCCCAGGCACUGAGGGACUGGGACCUGCCCUGGCCCCAUCUUGGCUUUCACAAAUGGGAGCUGGUGAGGUCUCACCCAGGUGAAACCCGGAAUUCACUUUCCUUUCAAAUGUUAAUAUGUUGCUGUGAAAACAUGCCUUUAUCAGUCCAGAAUCCUGUGUCUGUAAUCUCAAUAUCUAAAAGCUCUGAAAGCCAAAAGUUGGUUAUAAUCUGCAUGGUAGCAAAAUCUAACAGGGUUAAUUUCAUUUUCCAGAAUUAUCUGACCUGCACUAAGUGGAGGCUAUCUAUUGCCUUUAUUGAUCUCAUUUGGUGUGAAUACGCAUACAUGCUGCUGGAGAAAUAUUAAUGUCAUUGAUUACGAGGUGUCCCAGAGCUCACUGGGGUGUUGAUGUAUGAAGUGGUAUGUGCACCAAACUGCCUUUCUAAAAUACAUUCUGAAUUCUGAAACAUACCUGGCCCCAAGAUUUUGGAUGAGGAAUUUAGGCCUGUAUUAAAAUUAACCCAGGGAGGGUUAGGGCCUGGGAGAAGUGACCAUGAGUGGCCAUUGUUAUCUAAAGCUAAUGCAGGGAGCCAGGGGCAGCAGUGGCCUGAGUUAAAUAUCACUGGAUCCUUUAGUAUAAUUACAGAGUCAGGACUUAAGGAGAGUCAUUGACAUCCCUUUCAUCAAAAAGAAAAGAAAGAAUUGCUCCCUGUAAUCCAUACCCAUUAAUUCAGCAUCUCCCCUAGAUAGCUGAAACCCCUUCAGAAAGACUGGAAUAUUUUCUAGAUAAUAAAUCUGGGUCUUUAUCUUUCCCUUUUCUUCUUUCCCCUCUUCCCUUUGCCCCAUCCCUGAACUUCCCCCUCUUCUUGUGUUUUUGUCCAUAAAAGAGCAGCUUCUGUCAUUCAUGUGACAAUGAGCCUCCUUAGGUAAUUAAAGGGGAGUCUGCAGCCUGAACUACAAGUGAGAGGUCAUCUUUUUCAGCUUAUAGUCCUACCUCUACUGGGAGUGUGAUUCUGGGGACAAGAAGGAAGAAACGGUGCCAAAGCGCAUGGAUGGCCAAUUGUGCGCCUGGCUCUUCCAUGUGGAGUAGGCAGUGGGGCUGCUUGGAGCACACUUAGUGUUUGCCCUCCAGAUUUUUCCAGUCUCCUCAUAGAUGACCCAUGCCUGAUCUAGAAUAGGGAGGCAGGGUUUUAGAUUUAACUAGAAGUCUUCAUUUGUAUUCUUCCCAGAAGCAGACCCUGAGAUGAGGGUUCUGGGAAAUAAGGAGAACAGCAGUUGGGAAGAGGAGAACAAAGCCAGGGGAUGACUAGAGCUUAAUCCUUUGGGGAAACUCUGGGUAACAGCACAGAACACACCUCAGAGUUAUCUUCCUAAGGUGCCAGAUGAGGGAGUUGAGGUAUUUAUACACCCUCUCCUGAGACUCAUGGGUUGAGGGCUGCUGGAGGCUGCGAUGACAAUGCCCUGACACAUGGGCCUGCUUCCUGGGGGCAAAAGCCUCAGGCACAGACAUACAUACACUGGGGUUUGAAGUUGAUUGUUACAUACUGUAAUAGUAACAUCCAAGCAAUACUAGCAGGGCACUGACAGCAUCUAAUACAGUUUUUUUUUUUUUCACUAAAAUGCAAAGGAAUGUUUGCAUUUCUUUAUCAGAAGAAGGAAAAGAAUGCCAGUCUUCCCAUUUUGAUGGUUGUGCCCACAAGAACCAGCAGAGCCUGGAAGGACAAUAUGCUUGGUAGUGGGAUCAUUUGGGGCUAGUGAGGGGGCAGGGUCUCGGGAAAAAGGGCACGGUGCCUGGUGAAGGGAGUCAUUCUGGGGGUGCUGCAGUGAUGAUGCUAGUGGCAGCUGUGCCCUUGGCAAUGGGAGUGGGGGUCUGCUACUGCAGUGAACCCUGAAAGCAGUAGGGAGGUGCUUCUUUAUAUCCCUUAGAGACUUCAGCAAAAAAUAUCCUUGAAUAAGGCUAGGGUAGGCAAGGGAAAAAUGGCAGGCACAGCAGUGGACUCAGCUUGAUUGUGAAGCCCUUUCUUAGGCUCUGUAUGGGGCUGGAAAUACCACAUGUGUCCUGUUUGGUGGGGAGGGGUCCUGUUGGGUGGAUAAGUGAUGCUCAGAGCAUUUCUAGGGCAGGAGUUGUCAAACUUUUUCCUGCUAAAUAUUAUAGGCUUUAGGGGUACUACUGUCUCUGUUGUAACUACUCAGCUUCCCUAUUGUAUAUCAAGAAAUGGUCACAGACAAUAUGUAAGGAAUGCGUAUGGCUGUGUUCCAUCACAACUUUAUUUAUGGAUGCUGAAAUCAGAAUUUUAUAUAAUUUUCAUGUGUCACAAAUUUUUUUUUCUGAUUUUGUCCAUUCAUUAAAAAAUGCAAAACCUAUUUUUACCUUGUGAGCCACACUGAAACAGGCUGUAGGCUGAAUUGGGCCCGUGAACUGUAUUUGCAGACCCUUGUUCUAGGGCUUCUCUCUGACUUGGGCUCCAGGGUUAAGGGCAGAUUUCCAACCGAUUCUUGACAGCGUAGGAGGGGCAAACCUCCUCCUCACUCCAGUGAGAUAAGUGACUCAUCCAAUAAUGGCAAAGACUCAAAAGCAAGGAGAUAGAACCUCAUGUAUGCGUGGACAUUUAACUGGCUCCGGUGAAGGCUUGAAGCCCUAUUUGCUAAGCUUCUGCUCAUUUGCUGCUCCAGAAAGUGACAGCCUGCAUGACCAGUCCACAGCCUGUUACUUUGGGGAUUUUACAGGGUUCAUAGAGUAAAGAGGAGACUUUGGGUAAAUACAGAUCAAAUAUUUGGGUGACACUGGUAGAGUGAAAAGGUAGACUUUUAAGCCACAUCGCCUUGCACGCAGCUUCCAGCUCUGCCAUUUACAGCCUAGUAAUCUGAAUCAAGACACUUAAUUACUCUGGGUCUCAGUUUCCUCAUCCAUAAAAUGAGGAGCAAUAAUAACCCCCCUUUUAGGCUUAUUAUGAGGAUAAAGUAAGACAAUACGUGAAAUGACCUUGGAUCAAGCUCAGCUUGGCAUCUCAUCUUUACUUAAUGGAUGGUUUUAAAAUUAUUUUUAAUGCCAACUUCACAAAGUUGUGAUAGAAAUUAAAUGAGAUAAAUGUGUAAAGGGCUCAGGGACAUAGUAUGUGUUAAGAAAAUUAUUGCUACUAUUAAAAAUAUGAUGGAGAAAAAAAGGUUAGGUAUUUCUCCAUCUUCUCUUUGGGAUGAUGGCUCUCAAGAGGUGGGAAGAGGAGGACAAUGGCACCUGCAUAAUUUUGAUUGCAGGAUAUUUGUAUUCUUUCCCUUUCUGAAGUUCCUGAAUAGCAAAUGUUUUUGACAGCAAUUGGGUCUGGAUGCCACGUUUUGAAGCCCAACUAACAAACAAGAGAUUAUGAGACUGCAGUUAUCUUUUACCAGCUGCGUGGAAAAAUCCUGUCAUUUGGCAUCACACAACUAUGAAUUCUUUUAUCUCUUUCUCCCUUCUUAUGUGCUCCUGGAGCAUAUGUAAGCAAGCUCUGACAUUGAUAACACAUUCUUAUUAACCAUUAUCUGAAAGAUGGGAUGCCAACUUAGGAGUUUUGCAUUGCAUAUCAGAUGGAAAUUUCCAUUGGGGAAUGGAAUGUUAUCCACUCCUGGCCAAUGACAUCCCAAGGCUGAAGUUACCUUCUACAUACACCAUAGUCUGAGGUCAUGAAUUGGCUAGAUUUCUGCCCAAAUCUUUGCCUACUCCUUCAGAAGGAAAUGGAAUAUGAGGCAACUAUGGGCACUUAGAGGGAACAGAAAGUUGAUUUUCUGUCAUAUAAACGUUAGCUUCUUAGGCAGUGUAGAUGGAGCAGGUGACUGGAGCCAGAGGGAUGGGGUUGUGCUUGUAGAAAGGCCAAAUGAACAGGCUGAGUGGAGACCCUGUGGGGGCCCCUGAGAUGCACCCUUUAAUAUUCAUCCCACUCCAUGUGGUCAGUCUAAGCACAUCAUGUAAUUCCCAUUUUCCUUGACAGAAAUUGGUUAAGUAAAGGGCAUGUUAUCCACUCCUGGCCAAUGAGAUGAGGAAAAGCCUACAGUACGUGUGUGUGUGUUGGUUGGGGGGCAGUCUGGGGAAAGUUUAUCUUCUGUGAAGAAGGAACUCAGAGAGAGAGUGCCUUUUCGCCCUGUGGACUUUGCCAUGAGCGCCUGGUGCUAAGGUGUCAUCCUGCUAUCAUCCCUCUGAGAGACCAGCAUCAAGUAUUCCUGAAAGGCAAGAGGGAUGGUUCCUGGAUCCCUAAGGACAGCAUUGCCUGGCAGCUGAUCUCUACUUGCCUUCAAAUUAUAAUAUCUCUGUGCUUGCUCAUUGUUGAAGUCAGUUUGAGUUGGAACUCUGUUCCUUGUAACCAGAAGGAUCCUAUCUGGGGGCCACAUUUUUGACAUUGGAAUAUCACCAAGGUGAGAAAUAAGGGAAGGGUGUGCACUAGGCAUUUAGAAGAGGGGAGCGGCUGGGCACUUUUAAUGGGUUAGUGUGAAACAUACCUUGUACUCUAUCUGGAGCAUCCUAUAUUAAUUAACUAACUUAUUAAUGAGCCUGUAUAAGGCACCUACUACAUGGUCAGCAUAGGGACAGGUCUUUCUGAGAAUAAAAGAGUCAUAUAAAACAUCAUUCUAGUUGUCAAGCAUCAUAAAAUUUAGUUGGUGGAGACAAGACUAGAAAUAAAACAAAAUAAGUGGUUUAGAGAAGGGCGUGAUGAGUGAGUGCUAGAGUAGGUAAAAGCUUCGUGGGAGAUGGAGAAAGCUAAGCUGGGCCUUAAUCAGCAGAAAGAAUAAAGGUGAGGACAUAGAGACGUUAAGUCACAUGCUCCAACACAGCCAGAAAGUGGCAGAGCUGGGGUUCAAACCCAGUAUGUCUGACUCCUUCCAACCCUGGGCAUGUAACUACUAUGCUGGAGCAUACUUAUGCUCCCAAUGUGUAUUUGUAAGCCUGGAAUGCUCAUAUAUUAAUUUAUAAUGAGAAAUAGAACUGGAAAACAUUAUGAAUUCAAAAUCUGUGAAGCCAAGUUAUAUUCAGAAGGUUCCCAAGGCAGCUUGAAGCUGAUUAACAGACAGGAUAUCCCUGACACCAGGAUGGAGGCAUGUGUCUUGAAGGGCUAGUCCUUCUCUUCCUGGCUAGGUACUGGUAAGAGAAUGGCCAGUUUUGGAGUCUUGGGGCUCCCAUUUAAAUGCUCCAGGCUGUUCCUAAAGUCCUUCUUCAGUCAUGGUGUAAGUCAACUGGUCAGGCCUCUAGGUGUUCAUUAUGUUCACAUUUAAUUCAGUGGUGUACUAGCAAGUGUUUAACAAAUGGCUCUCUGGGGCACUGGGGGAAGCCCUAAUUUGUAACAUUCACCAAGUCAAGUUCCAUGGUGUAAAUACUCCCUCCAAGACUAUUUCAAGCUACCAGCAGGAAGAGAUGCACACAAUCAAUGGCUCUUGAGUGCUGGUACCGGCAGGCUCCAGCACACCACUGUGCUCACAUUGCAUCCUGCCUCUCAGAGCCUUCCCAGAUGCCUUGAUGGGAAUUAUGGAAUGUUCUCAGACUUUUGUAGAACAUUUACCAAAUUAGUCACAGCCAUGUGUGUGAACUUUUUCAGUUUAAUUAUUGGAAAAUGGCCUCACUUCCAAAUUCUUGGAGAACACUGUUUUUACCUUCAUGUACCGUCAACUAAUAGAGCUGUAAGGUGGCCAAAGAAACCAAAGAUGGAUUUCCUUUCUGUAUUGCCUAAAGUCCAGAGUUCUGUUAAAAAUUACUGUCAAGAGUGAGGCUUGGGGUCUGUGCUGCACUGAGUAAUACCAUGGGUAGCAAUAGAUAAAUUGGCACAGAAGAAUCUUCUACAGCACCACCGCCAUUCACCCCCUGCCUCACUUUGCUGUCUUACCCAACAUUACAUGACAGAAAAAAGAAAUUGUGUUGCCUAGUAACAGCUCUGAGCAAGGGGAGACCAGUCAAUACAAUUCUGAAUUAAGGCAACAUCCACAAAAAAAUCCAUCUUGAGGAUUUAUACGAAAACCAAAGUGUAGUUAUAGUCUUACAAGCUGGUGGAGAAGUCCCAUUAGCUUUGGGUAUUGGAUUAUUUAGAAUAAUAUAUCUGAGAUAUAGAUUUCUUUUUCUGGGAAGAAUAAUCUACUCUGAGGCCAUGAAAAUCAAUAGGCCACUUUGAAGACUGACUUCAGCUGUUAUUGGUAAUGUUUUGGUUGUGUUUGUGAAUCAACAAUCAAGCAAAAAUAAGGCCAUUUAGUAGCUCACACUAAAGAGCACUACUUGUCAAUUUUGCAACGAAGCCUCUCCAUCCAUUGAAUGAAACAGCAUCUCCCAAGGGCUGCUGUGAGCCUAUGGAGACCCUGAAAGCUGACACCAGCACAAAGAAUUAAGGAUAAGUCUUCCAGGGUGGCCAGUCAUCCCAGCAUAUUGAGACUGAGGAGUUUCCCAGGAUGCUGGACUUUUAAUGCUAAAACUAGGAAACUCCUUGGCAAACUGGGACAGUUGGUCGCCCUGGAUCAGUGGUUCUCAACUGCAGAUGAUUUUGCCCCUCAGGUAGGGUUGCCAGAUAAAACAGAAGAUACUCUGUUAAGUUUGAUUUUCAGAUAGACAAUGAAUAAUUUUUCAGUAUAAGUAUGUCCCAACUACUACAAUGGGACACAUUUAGAGUUAAAAAGAAUUAUUCUUUGCUUGUCUAAAAUUCGAAUUUAACUAGGCUUUUAACAUUUUUUAAAAAAUUUUUUUUGUAAAACUGACAGUCUUACCCCCAGGAGAUAGUUGGUAAUGAUUGGAAGCCUCUUCGGUUUUCACAACCACAACUUCAUCAGGGAUGCUACUAGCAUCUAGUGAGUAGAGGCCAGGCAUGCUGCUAAACUUCCUAUAAGGCACCAAUGCAGACAACAGCUGCCUAAAACAAAGAAUUAUCUGGCCUGAAAUGUCAGUGGUGCAGAGGUUGGGAAAUCCUGCCGUAGACCUAAACAAGCUGGUGCCACGGAGCUCCAUCUUCCUUGAGAAAACACUAAAGGAUGGACGUGGGCUUCCCUGCUUCAUGCACACAGAUGGAAAAAUGUCACAUACAUUCCUGACCUUUAACACUUUCAGUCUGAUGCGUCAAACAGCCAUUGGGAGCUUAAGAAGUGUCUAGCAAAAUGGGACAAUUCCCCUUGCCGGACUCCCCCUUCCACACUUGGAAGGGUGAGGCAGUGUGUGUCAUCAAACAAUAGAGCAGAUAAAAGCUGAAUCAGGGUGGUCUCCAGGACACCCCCAUCUCCCCAGACUUCUAUGGUGACAUUUCUUGCACUCCUCAAGUUUGUUCAUGGCUUUGAAAACACAGUUUCAGAAUGUCUUCAUUGUUUCAUACGGUACUGGCCGCGCCUGGAGUUUUCCUGAAGGAAACUGUAGCAGCAGGAAUUUUGUGCAAUACUAUAAUAAGGGGGCUUUAUCCUUCCAAAAAUACAUCCUUUCUCCUUGUUGCCAGCUCUCCCACAGCCCUGUGAAAAAUGUAGCUCAGAAGUUACUGAGGCGUUUUUCUGUUUUUCCUUUCUCACUUUAGUUCAUAUCAAGCAACAGAAAGCAAUUCUAUUAUUCACACUUAGGCGUGCUAGCUUGAAUGAAUGAACAAAUCAAAUAUCAAUCCUUUUCUCAUUUCCCUAGUGUGUAAGAACUGAAAUGUAGAAAGUGGCAUCUGCUUAAAAGGAAUUGGUGAAUUUGACUUCUCUAGGUACCUUAUCCAAGUGGAAUGAGUGUUUAAUGGGCACAGAGUUUCAGUUGGGAAGAUCGAAACGUUCUGGUAGAUGGAUGUUGGUGAUGGUUGCACAACUAUGUGAUUAUACUUAAUGUCAUGGAACUGUACACUUAAAAAUGGUUAAAAUAGUAGAUUUUAUGUUAUGUAUAUUUAAUCACAGUUUAAAGAAAGGAAUUGGUGAUGCAUGUCUAUGCAUGUAAGUUUUGAUAUAUGCUUGCUGAUUGAUUAUUUAUCUAAGGUCUGUUUACAUAUUUUCCCCCAGUAAACUUGGUACUUGCCUCAUUGUCCUGUAUCCUUAUCCUUAAAUUAAUUGGACAAUGCCUCUUUCUUCUUCUCCCUCUUCUUAACUCCAGCAGUCACAUGAAGAUAGAAAUAUAUUUUGUCUUUGGAAGUUACUCUUUUUUAAUUUUUUAAUUUUUGUGGGUACAUACAUAGUAGGUGUAUAUAUCUAUGGGGUACAUAAAAUGCUUUGAAAUAGGUAUGCAAUGCAUAAUAAUUACAUCAUGGAAAAUGGGGUAUCCAUCCCCUCAAAUAUUUAUGUUUCAUGUUAUAAUCCAAUUAUACUCUGGAGUAUACGCUGAGUACUCCAAAUGUACUCAAUAGUACAAUUAAAUUACUACUGACUAUAAUCACCCUGUUGUACUACAAAAUACUAGGUCUUAUGCAUUAUUUCUAACUAAUGUUUUUGUACUCAUUUACCAUUCCCCCUCCCCUUCACAGUCCCCCAUUACCCUUCUCAGCCU
rnacentral:lncRNA from 10 species